GAUGAACGCUGGCGGCGUGCCUAAUACAUGCAAGUCGAGCGAACGGACGAGAAGCUUGCUUCUCUGAUGUUAGCGGCGGACGGGUGAGUAACACGUGGAUAACCUACCUAUAAGACUGGGAUAACUUCGGGAAACCGGAGCUAAUACCGGAUAAUAUUUUGAACCGCAUGGUUCAAAAGUGAAAGACGGUCUUGCUGUCACUUAUAGAUGGAUCCGCGCUGCAUUAGCUAGUUGGUAAGGUAACGGCUUACCAAGGCAACGAUGCAUAGCCGACCUGAGAGGGUGAUCGGCCACACUGGAACUGAGACACGGUCCAGACUCCUACGGGAGGCAGCAGUAGGGAAUCUUCCGCAAUGGGCGAAAGCCUGACGGAGCAACGCCGCGUGAGUGAUGAAGGUCUUCGGAUCGUAAAACUCUGUUAUUAGGGAAGAACAUAUGUGUAAGUAACUGUGCACAUCUUGACGGUACCUAAUCAGAAAGCCACGGCUAACUACGUGCCAGCAGCCGCGGUAAUACGUAGGUGGCAAGCGUUAUCCGGAAAUAUUGGGCGUAAAGCGCGCGUAGGCGGUUUUUUAGUCUGAUGUGAAAGCCCACGGCUCAACCGUGGAGGGUCAUUGGAAACUGGAAAACUUGAGUGCAGAAGAGGAAAGUGGGAUUCCAUGUGUAGCGGUGAAAUGCGCAGAGAUAUGGAGGAACACCAGUGGCGAAGGCGACUUUCUGGUCUGUAACUGACGCUGAUGUGCGAAAGCGUGGGGAUCAAACAGGAUUAGAUACCCUGGUAGUCCACGCCGUAAACGAUGAGUGCUAAGUGUUAGGGGGUUUCCGCCCCUUAGUGCUGCAGCUAACGCAUUAAGCACUCCGCCUGGGGAGUACGACCGCAAGGUUGAAACUCAAAGGAAUUGACGGGGACCCGCACAAGCGGUGGAGCAUGUGGUUUAAUUCGAAGCAACGCGAAGAACCUUACCAAAUCUUGACAUCCUUUGACGACUCUAGAGAUAGAGCCUUCCCCUUCGGGGGACAAAGUGACAGGUGGUGCAUGGUUGUCGUCAGCUCGUGUCGUGAGAUGUUGGGUUAAGUCCCGCAACGAGCGCAACCCUUAAGCUUAGUUGCCAUCAUUAAGUUGGGCACUCUAAGUUGACUGCCGGUGACAAACCGGAGGAAGGUGGGGAUGACGUCAAAUCAUCAUGCCCCUUAUGAUUUGGGCUACACACGUGCUACAAUGGACAAUACAAAGGGCAGCGAAACCGCGAGGUCAAGCAAAUCCCAUAAAGUUGUUCUCAGUUCGGAUUGUAGUCUGCAACUCGACUACAUGAAGCUGGAAUCGCUAGUAAUCGUAGAUCAGCAUGCUACGGUGAAUACGUUCCCGGGUCU
rnacentral:rRNA from 1 species